rnacentral:rRNA from 1 species
UGGGGAAUAUGGCCAUCUGGUGGGAACUCUGAUGCAGCGACGCCGCGUGAACGAAGAAGGCUUUCGCGUCGUAAAGUUCUUUUAUAUGGGAAGAUAAUGACGGUACCAUAAGAAGAAGCCCCGGCUAACUACGUGCCAGCAGCCGCGGUAAUACGUAGGGGGCUAGCGUUGUCCGGAAUCACUGGGCGUAAAGGGUUCGCAGGCGGAAAUGCAAGUCAGGUGUAAAAGGCAGUAGCUUAACUACUGUAAGCAUUUGAAACUGCAUAUCUUGAGAAGAGUAGAAGUAAGUGGAAUUUUUAGUGUAGCGGUGAAAUGCGUAGAUAUUAAAAAGAAUACCGGUGGCGAAGGCGACGUACUGGGCUCAUUCUGACGCUGAGGAACGAAAGCGUGGGUAGCAAACAGG